rnacentral:rRNA from 1 species
GACAGAGGGUGCAAACGUUGUUCGGAUUUACUGGGCGUAAAGCGCGUGUAGGCGGCUUGGCAAGUCGGAUGUGAAAGCCCACGGCUCAACCGUGGAAGCGCAUCCGAAACGGCCUCGCUCGAGUCUCGGAGAGGAAGGUGGAAUGCUUGGUGUAGAGGUGAAAUUCGUAGAUAUCAAGCAGAACACCUGCGGCGAAGGCGGCCUUCUGGACGAUGACUGACGCUGAGACGCGAAAGCGUGGGGAGCAAACAGGAUA